rnacentral:rRNA from 1 species
AUUGAACGCUGGCGGCAUGCUUUACACAUGCAAGUCGAACGGCAGCACAGGGAGCUUGCUCCCGGGUGGCGAGUGGCGCACGGGUGAGUAAUACAUCGGAACGUGUCCUGUUGUGGGGGAUAACUGCUCGAAAGGGUGGCUAAUACCGCAUGAGACCUGAGGGUGAAAGCGGGGGAUCGCAAGACCUCGCGCAAUUGGAGCGGCCGAUGCCCGAUUAGCUAGUUGGUGGGGUAAAGGCUCACCAAGGCGACGAUCGGUAGCUGGUCUGAGAGGACGACCAGCCACACUGGGACUGAGACACGGCCCAGACUCCUACGGGAGGCAGCAGUGGGGAAUUUUGGACAAUGGGGGGCAACCCUGAUCCAGCCAUGCCGCGUGCGGGAUGAAGGCCUUCGGGUUGUAAACUGCUUUGUCAGGGACGAAAAGGACCGUGUUAAUACCAUGGUCUGCUGACGGUACCUGAAGAAUAAGCACCGGCUAACUACGUGCCAG